GAUGAACGCUAGCGGCAGGCUUAACACAUGCAAGUCGAGGGGCAGCAUAAUGGAUAGCAAUAUCUAUGGUGGGGACCGGCGCACGGGUGCGUAACGCGUAUGCAACCUACCUUUACCAGGGGGAUAACACUGAGAAAUUGGUACUAAUACCCCAUAAUAUCCUAGAAGGCAUCUUUUAUGGUUGAAAAUUCCGCUGGUUAGAGAUGGGCAUGCGUUGUAUUAGCUAGUUGGUGGGGUAACGGCUAACCAAGGCGACGUUACAUAGGGGGAAGGAGAGGUUAGCCCCCCACACGGGUACCGAGACACGGACCAGACUCCUACGGGAGGCAGCAGUGAUGAAUAUUGGUGAAGGGACGCUAGUCUGAACCAGCCAUGCCGCGUGCAGGAUGACGGCGCUAUGAGUUGUAAACUGCUUGUGUACGAGGGUAAACGCAGAUACGGGUAUCUGUCUGAAGGUAUCGUACGAAUAAGCAUCGGCUAACUCCGUG
rnacentral:rRNA from 1 species